rnacentral:lncRNA from 1 species
GUUGUUUCCGUAUAUGUUAUGUUUCAUUGCUCAUGUGUUGUUUUCGUAUAUUUUAGCCGAUCGUCUUGAGCCUACUCAAUUGAUCCGAUAACACCCCAUAUAGCAAUAAAAUGCCAUUCAUAACUCUUAACAGACCAAUUAACAGUCCGGGUUUUAUACAUCCGACCCAUUAACAGACCAUGUUUUAAAUAAAGAUUGAUUUAUGUCACCAAAAUACAGAUUUUCGUGUAGAUUUUUCACACAAUGAUAUCAAUAUGGUUAAUAAACAUAAUGCCUUUCUUUUUUCGAUGUUCAAAAUAUUGAAUGCAAGUUAAUUUAACCAAUG